GUCUGAUGUUCUCUUUCAGGUCAUGCAUUUAUCCAUUAAUGUUCCAUCACUGAGCUCUUCAGGUUUCUGCUCUGUAUUUUCCUGAUUCACCUUUGGAAUACACCUGGCUUUCUGCAGCAAUGCUUGUGUAGCUGUUGUGGGUGAGUGCCCUUCGCAGAGAGCAUCAGUGGUUUGCUGUAACACCAGGACCUGAAAACAGGUAUCACAGCCACACAGCAAAGUUUAUUUGCUCCUUCCUUUUGUUCUAGCUGCAUUUAUUUCAAAGCCAGAGUGAGAGGUGGCAGAAUGCAGGGCACUGACUUUUUUUGUGUGUUUGUUUCUUGCAGCAUAUCUCAUCUUAGGAUAAUACCUGAGCCUUCCAGGGCAACAGUAGACUUUGGAACCAGGAUGCUCUUGUUCCUUCAGCAGCAUUUUAGCUACUUACUGGCUGAAAUGGUAUGCCUGUGUCUGGAUGAGAUAGAGAGCAAUUUACCGAUUUCAUCCACACGAUGGAUGUGGAGGAGAAGCCAUAGAGGAUGAUACCCAACCAGAAACACGCUGCAGUUUUGUUGUGAAUAUCCAGGAAGUCUCUGCAGUGCAGAUGUGACAGCAACAGCAAAACUUAUUUCAAGGUCCCAUCCCAUGAAGAGGCUGUGAGUAUCAGCAACCACACAAAAGAACUUGCAGAGGGGGGUGGGGAAGUGUCUUUAAAAUGACAAACAUCAUCGUCUGUCCUGGUGGAAUGUGGUAACUAUUUGUGGAUCCCACUGCCUAAACCCCAUCAAAGUUAGAGCGUAGCACUGCUAUCUAUUGUUAUUCUGUGUGAUGGUUUGUUUCUUUUUUUUUCCCCCCUAAAUGUUUCCAGCAUGUUGGCUGAUAGUACCAAAACCCUGCAAUUCUUAGAAAGUGUUGCUUUGGUUUGUUAAGCAGAGUCAUGAAUACAAGUAUUCCUGACUUCUGAGACUGAAGGAUGUGUAUGAGUAGAUGAAGCACAAUAGGAUUAUUAUAAUCCUUGUUACCAGAGGAACCAGCCUGAGUUUCACCUGCCUGCUCCUCGGGUCCUUUGUAACCUGGUAGAAUGGCUUUGUUGGGAAUGAAGAGCAUCAGGAUCUGAGAUGCCUAAGAGCUGACAUACUUAGAGUUGCUCUGUUUGGGGUGGCAUCUCUUUGUAAGUGUGGUGGUUACCUUACUUUUUCACUUCAUGUCACUGUGGGGAACAGAUCAACCAAUGGUUCCGUUAGGCUGGAAAAAUAAGAAAGUUACCAACAGAGAUGUUGAGGAGUAGCCUUUAAACACAAGUAGUGGUAAUAAUAUCUGAACUCUUUUUAGAACAUAGAUCAAUUAAUUAAUGAGAUACCAUGCCCAGGAUCUCUAGUGAUCUUAAUUAGUGUUAAUAGCUUUACAAAAGAUUUUAAAUCUGAUAAGCAUUGAAGGCAAUUUCACUAUAUAGGUCUUGGAUCUGUGUUGUCUUCUAGUAUAGCAGCAGUAUAAAUAAACUGAAUUGUGCUUCUGGAAAAGAAGAAUUG
rnacentral:lncRNA from 1 species